rnacentral:rRNA from 1 species
UACAGAGGUCCCAAGCGUUGUUCGGAUUCAUUGGGCGUAAAGGGUGCGUAGGCGGCGCGGUAAGUCGGGUGUGAAAUCUCGGGGCUUAACUCCGAAACUGCAUUCGAUACUGCCGUGCUUGAGGACUGGAGAGGAGACUGGAAUUUACGGUGUAGCGGUGAAAUGCGUAGAUAUCGUAAGGAAGACCAGUGGCGAAGGCGGGUCUCUGGACAGUUCCUGACGCUGAGGCACGAAGGCCAGGGGGAGCAAACGGG